UACGGAGGGGACUAGCGUUGUUCGGAAUUACUGGGCGUAAAGCGCACGUAGGCGGAUUUGUAAGUCAGGGGUGAAAUCCCGGGGCUCAACCUCGGAACUGCCUUUGAUACUGCAAAUCUCGAGUCCGGAAGAGGUGAGUGGAAUUCCUAGUGUAGAGGUGAAAUGCGUAGAGAUGUGGAGGAACACCGAUGGCGAAGGCAGCCUCCUGGGCCAAUACUGACGCUCAUGCACGAAAGCGUGGGGAGCAAACAGG
rnacentral:rRNA from 1 species